UGUGAGCUCGAUGAGUAGGGCGGGACACGUGGUAUCCUGUCUGAAUAUGGGGGGACCAUCCUCCAAGGCUAAAUACUCCUGACUGACCGAUAGUGAACCAGUACCGUGAGGGAAAGGCGAAAAGAACCCCGGCGAGGGGAGUGAAAAAGAACCUGAAACCGUGUACGUACAAGCAGUGGGAGCACAGAGCAAUCUGUGUGACUGCGUACCUUUUGUAUAAUGGGUCAGCGACUUAUAUUCUGUAGCAAGGUUAACCGAAUAGGGGAGCCGAAGGGAAACCGAGUCUUAACUGGGCGUUAAGUUGCAGGGUAUAGACCCGAAACCCGGUGAUCUAGCCAUGGGCAGGUUGAAGGUUGGGUAACACUAACUGGAGGACCGAACCGACUAAUGUUGAAAAAUUAGCGGAUGACUUGUGGCUGGGGGUGAAAGGCCAAUCAAACCGGGAGAUAGCUGGUUCUCCCCGAAAGCUAUUUAGGUAGCGCCUCGUGAAUUCAUCUCCGGGGGUAGAGCACUGUUUCGGCAAGGGGGUCAUCCCGACUUACCAACCCGAUGCAAACUGCGAAUACCGGAGAAUGUUAUCACGGGAGACACACGGCGGGUGCUAACGUCCGUCGUGAAGAGGGAAACAACCCAGACCGCCAGCUAAGGUCCCAAAGUCAUGGUUAAGUGGGAAACGAUGUGGGAAGGCCCAGACAGCCAGGAUGUUGGCUUAGAAGCAGCCAUCAUUUAAAGAAAGCGUAAUAGCUCACUGGUCGAGUCGGCCUGCGCGGAAGAUGUAACGGGGCUAAACCAUGCACCGAAGCUGCGGCAGCGACGCUUAUGCGUUGUUGGGUAGGGGAGCGUUCUGUAAGCCUGCGAAGGUGUGCUGUGAGGCAUGCUGGAGGUAUCAGAAGUGCGAAUGCUGACAUAAGUAACGAUAAAGCGGGUGAAAAGCCCGCUCGCCGGAAGACCAAGGGUUCCUGUCCAACGUUAAUCGGGGCAGGGUGAGUCGACCCCUAAGGCGAGGCCGAAAGGCGUAGUCGAUGGGAAACAGGUUAAUAUUCCUGUACUUGGUGUUACUGCGAAGGGGGGACGGAGAAGGCUAUGUUGGCCGGGCGACGGUUGUCCCGGUUUAAGCGUGUAGGCUGGUUUUCCAGGCAAAUCCGGAAAAUCAAGGCUGAGGCGUGAUGACGAGGCACUACGGUGCUGAAGCAACAAAUGCCCUGCUUCCAGGAAAAGCCUCUAAGCAUCAGGUAACAUCAAAUCGUACCCCAAACCGACACAGGUGGUCAGGUAGAGAAUACCAAGGCGCUUGAGAGAACUCGGGUGAAGGAACUAGGCAAAAUGGUGCCGUAACUUCGGGAGAAGGCACGCUGAUAUGUAGGUGAAGUCCCUCGCGGAUGGAGCUGAAAUCAGUCGAAGAUACCAGCUGGCUGCAACUGUUUAUUAAAAACACAGCACUGUGCAAACACGAAAGUGGACGUAUACGGUGUGACGCCUGCCCGGUGCCGGAAGGUUAAUUGAUGGGGUCAGCGCAAGCGAAGCUCUUGAUCGAAGCCCCGGUAAACGGCGGCCGUAACUAUAACGGUCCUAAGGUAGCGAAAUUCCUUGUCGGGUAAGUUCCGACCUGCACGAAUGGCGUAAUGAUGGCCAGGCUGUCUCCACCCGAGACUCAGUGAAAUUGAACUCGCUGUGAAGAUGCAGUGUACCCGCGGCAAGACGGAAAGACCCCGUGAACCUUUACUAUAGCUUGACACUGAACAUUGAGCCUUGAUGUGUAGGAUAGGUGGGAGGCUUUGAAGUGUGGACGCCAGUCUGCAUGGAGCCGACCUUGAAAUACCACCCUUUAAUGUUUGAUGUUCUAACGUUGACCCGUAAUCCGGGUUGCGGACAGUGUCUGGUGGGUAGUUUGACUGGGGCGGUCUCCUCCUAAAGAGUAACGGAGGAGCACGAAGGUUGGCUAAUCCUGGUCGGACAUCAGGAGGUUAGUGCAAUGGCAUAAGCCAGCUUGACUGCGAGCGUGACGGCGCGAGCAGGUGCGAAAGCAGGUCAUAGUGAUCCGGUGGUUCUGAAUGGAAGGGCCAUCGCUCAACGGAUAAAAGGUACUCCGGGGAUAACAGGCUGAUACCGCCCAAGAGUUCAUAUCGACGGCGGUGUUUGGCACCUCGAUGUCGGCUCAUCACAUCCUGGGGCUGAAGUAGGUCCCAAGGGUAUGGCUGUUCGCCAUUUAAAGUGGUACGCGAGCUGGGUUUAGAACGUCGUGAGACAGUUCGGUCCCUAUCUGCCGUGGGCGCUGGAGAACUGAGGGGGGCUGCUCCUAGUACGAGAGGACCGGAGUGGACGCAUCACUGGUGUUCGGGUUGUCAUGCCAAUGGCACUGCCCGGUAGCUAAAUGCGGAAGAGAUAAGUGCUGAAAGCAUCUAAGCACGAAACUUGCCCCGAGAUGAGUUCUCCCUGACUCCUUGA
rnacentral:rRNA from 1 species